rnacentral:rRNA from 1 species
UACGUAGGGGGCAAGCGUUGUCCGGAUUUAUUGGGCGUAAAGAGCGUGUAGGCGGCCAGACAGGUCCGGUGUGAAAACUCGAGGCUCAACCUCGAGACGCCGAUGGAAACCGUCUGGCUAGAGUCCGGAAGAGGAGAGUGGAAUUCCUGGUGUAGCGGUGAAAUGCGCAGAUAUCAGGAAGAACACCCGUGGCUAAGGCGGCUCUCUAGUACGGUACUGACGCUGAGACGCGAAAGCGUGGGGAGCGAACAGG